GACGAACGCUGGCGGCGUGCUUAACACAUGCAAGUCGAACGGAAAGGCCCUGCUUUUGUGGGGUGCUCGAGUGGCGAACGGGUGAGUAACACGUGAGUAACCUGCCCUUGACUUUGGGAUAACUUCAGGAAACUGGGGCUAAUACCGGAUAGGAGCUCCUGCUGCAUGGUGGGGGUUGGAAAGUUUCGGCGGGUGGGGAUGGACUCGCGGCUUAUCAGCUUGUUGGUGGGGUAGUGGCUUACCAAGGCUUUGACGUGUAGCGGGCCUGAGAGGGUGACCGGCCGCAUUGGGACUGAGAUGCGGCACAGACUCCUACGGGAGGAAGCAGUGGGGAAUAUUGCACAAUGGGCGGAAGGCUGAUGCAGCAAGGCCGCGUGCGGGAUGACGGCCUUCGGGUUGUAAACCGCUUUCGCCUGUGACGAAGCGUGGGUGACGGUAAUGGGUAAAGAAGCACCGGCUAACUACGUGC
rnacentral:rRNA from 1 species